rnacentral:rRNA from 1 species
CCUACGGGUGGCUGCAGUGGGGAAUAUUGGACAAUGGGCGAAAGCCUGAUCCAGCCAUGCCGCGUGUGUGAAGAAGGCCUUCGGGUUGUAAAGCACUUUCAGUGGGGAAGAAAGCCUUGGGGCUAAUACCCUCGAGGAAGGACAUCACCCACAGAAGAAGCACCGGCUAACUCCGUGCCAGCAGCCGCGGUAAUACGGAGGGUGCGAGCGUUAAUCGGAAUUACUGGGCGUAAAGCGCGCGUAGGCGGUCUGAUAAGCCGGGUGUGAAAGCCCCGGGCUCAACCUGGGAACGGCAUCCGGAACUGGCAGGCUAGAGUGCAGGAGAGGAAGGUAGAAUUCCCGGUGUAGCGGUGAAAUGCGUAGAGAUCGGGAGGAAUACCAGUGGCGAAGGCGGCCUCCUGGACUGACACUGACGCUGAGGUGCGAAAGCGUGGGUAGCAAACAGGAUUAGAUACCCUGGUAGUC